rnacentral:rRNA from 1 species
UAGGGAAUCUUGGACAAUGGGUGCGAGCCUGAUCCAGCCAUGCCGCGUGCAGGAAGUAGGCUUUCUGAGUUGUAAACUGCUUUUGCCAGAGGAUAAAAAGCCCAUGCGUGGGAAAUUGAAGGUACCUGGUGAAUAAGCCACGGCUAACUACGUGCCAGCAGCCGCGGUAAUACGUAGGUGGCAAGCGUUGUCCGGAUUUAUUGGGUUUAAAGGGUGCGUAGGCGGUUUUAUAAGUCAGUGGUGAAAUCCGGCAGCUCAACUGUCGAUGUGCCAUUGAUACUGUAGAACUUGAGUACUGAUGAGGUAGGCGGAAUUGACGGUGUAGCGGUGAAAUGCUUAGAUAUCGUCAAGAACACCGAUAGCGAAGGCAGCUUACUAAGCAGUAACUGACGCUGAGGCACGAAAGUGUGGGGAUCAAACA